rnacentral:lncRNA from 1 species
GACUCAAAAAUCGAAUAAUAAAAAAAUAAAAAUCAAAAAUCGAUCCAAAAAAAAGAGGAACCGAACUAAAAAUUUCAGUCUGAUUCGGUUUGGUUAUUCGGUUUACACAUUUAUAUGCAUAAAUGCUAAGCUAAAGGUAAUAGGAUGUAAAUAAAUGAAAGUGCUCCUCCAGUAUGAUGUUCAGUAGUUAAUACUAUUUGAUUCUC